rnacentral:snoRNA from 1 species
UUGGGGAAAUGAUGAUUAAUUCAUCACAGAUGCCCUUAAUGGGCUUUCUUAAAGAAUGGUGACAAAUUGCACGUCAGUCUGAUCCCCUA